rnacentral:rRNA from 1 species
CCUACGGGUGGCAGCAGUGAGGAAUAUUGGUCAAUGGACGAGAGUCUGAACCAGCCAAGUAGCGUGAAGGAUGACUGCCCUAUGGGUUGUAAACUUCUUUUAUAUGGGAAUAAAAUGUUCCACGUGUGGGAUUUUGUAUGUACCAUAUGAAUAAGGAUCGGCUAACUCCGGGCCAGCAGCCGCGGUAAUACGGAGGAUCCGAGCGUUAUCCGGAUUUAUUGGGUUUAAAGGGAGCGUAGGUGGAUUUUUAAGUCAGUUGUGAAAGUUUGCGGCUCAACCGUAAAAUUGCAGUUGAAACUGGCAGUCUUGAGUACAGUAGAGGUGGGCGGAAUUCGUGGUGUAGCGGUGAAAUGCUUAGAUAUCACGAAGAACUCCGAUUGCGAAGGCAGUUCACUGGACUGCAACUGACACUGAGGCUCGAAAGUGUGGGUAUCAAACAGGAUUAGAUACCCCUGUAGUC